CUUCGUGGCGGAGCGCGGCCUACCCAGAGCGCCUUCUAUAUCCUGGGUCAGGCGCCAAGCUCCCCCAGCUUCACGCAGGAAGCUGCAGCCUGGCAGAAUUUGAACCGCUCUUUUCGCGUCCGGCGAGCCUUUCCCAGGCCCGCAGUCCGGAACAGAGUCGCGGCCCAAGACGCGUGCUAGAG
rnacentral:lncRNA from 1 species